GAUUCAAGACACCCUGUGCCAGAUGCAGCAAAGCAGCCCUGAAACAUAACCGAGCUUCCACCAUGUUUUACAAUAAGAAAAACACCAGUGGCACCGAUACCUUAUCAACGCAGCACCUCGAGAUGGACAAUGGCGAUAUUCGGGCAGUAACCAGAACCUUCAGAUGCGGUGAUGCUAGGACAGAUAUGCAGCAAUAAAUGUAAUGACCAAGAAAUACAAAAACAGGUGUCCUGCACUCACCGCUUCAAUUCUGAUUAUUCGGCUCCCAUUUCUGGCUGCUCCUCCGGAACCGGGGCUGGCGGACGCGUGGGGCGCUCAGAUCUGAUGUGUGUAAAGUAUAGAAAUGGACAAAGGAAAUGAAGAACAGAUUCACCGCUGCUCUCCAAGGUCCCGGGACGGCUCUGUUUCACAGCAAUUACCUAUGGAUCUGAUGUGUGUUGUCAAAAAGCUCCAGUUUUGUCUCAUCUGUCCAAAGGACAUUUUACUGGAAGUCUUGUGGCUUUGAGCUGAAACACAAAGUCUGCCCUUCAAA